rnacentral:lncRNA from 1 species
AAAAUGUAUUGUGAAAAAAAACGAUGAGAAAAAAAAAAGGUGCUUGAGCACCUGCCCCUUUGCCCUUUGGUGCCCAAAGUGCCCUUUUGUCAAAGCAAAAUUUCCUCUAAUUUUUUUUUUUUUUUUGUCAUAACGUUUCCUUUUGUGAAUACCUGCUCAUGCCCAAUAUAAAUAUUAGUACAAUUUUGAAUAAUAAUUUAGCCAUCAAUAAAAUGACCAACAUGAUGACCUUUGACCUGACGACGACGACCUCUUCAUCUGACCAGGACGAUUCGUCACGCCGCACGCGCACAUUUUUUAAUUGUCAGAGGAUAUUUUCAACACCACGGAAGCUGAUGGCGGCCAGGCUAGAUCUGCAGGACAAGAGUUUGCACCGCGUUCAUGCAGAACUGUGUUUCCUCUUCUGACCUGUCGCUCUUUGAGCUUUACAUCACCUCUCUGAAUUCUAAUUGCCUGGUGAAGGUCAGUGUGCCCAGUCUCAACUUUAACCAGGAUGUGCAACGGACUGCAGGUCAGGGCUUCACUGUGACUCUCCCCAAAACAAUUGAGCUGUCUGGCACCAGGAGGUCUUCAUUCAGGCAUCUGAUGACAUAACGGUUUCCUUGCUAAACUCAAAGCAGUUCACGGUGGAUACGUCCCUGGUCUACCCCAUGAACAAAAGGGGUACUGAAUAUUUUGUGUUCACCCCCACCAGCUCCCCUCCAUCCAUGCUGAAGGAGUCUGUUCCUUCGAGUGGUCCGGUUCAAAGGACAUUUGUACAGUGCUGGCAGUAAACAAGUUGUGGUUAUGGAUCCUUUUGAAAAUCCAUAAAUUCAAAGCCAAGGAGAUCUUACGGGAACACACAUACAUUCACAGCUUCACACUCAACCAAGAGUACAAAAUCCAGUUUCCAAAUGGUCUCAACAUUGUUGCUGACAAUGGAAUCCAGGUGUUUUUCUGUUUAAUGGUGUUCAAACAUCCCAUGGUGUCAUAUAUGACCCGUUUCUUAUAAAUGUUCUGCCCAACGACCAGUUUUGUUCUUCGUAUGCGCUUGAUGGGAUAGCUGGCUUUGACAUUCAAGCUCUUCUGAUUGUUUCUACCAAAGAACAAGCAGUGAUUCAUUUUGAUAGCUUGCCUUUACCUGGAAACCUUCAGUGGAGGGUCAUUAAAACUGUGAGUACUCUUAAGACUGAGCUGGUUUACCAACCUGGGGCAGGUGGGCACAAAUUAACCCAUCCAAAUGCUUCUUUUGGAGUCUAUAGUGUGGGAAAACAGCAAGUGAAUGGGUACGGAGCCCCAGCUGCAUGCAUUGAUCCAGGUACGUCAAUGAAAAAUUCUUCCUUCAGUUUUAAAACAUAUGUGUUGGUGCAACCAGUCUGAAGCUAAGAAAAUCCCUAUCCAAUAAUGUAUUUUUAAAUGAGUAAGACAGUAGUCUUAAUUACAGCAGAAUAAUUAAAUGUUCCGAUUUUGGUAAUAGCUUAACUGACUCUAUGUUUAUGCUGCUUAAAAUGUAAUG